rnacentral:rRNA from 1 species
AGCGUUGUUCGGAAUCACUGGGCGUAAAGCGCCCGUAGGCGGAUUUGUAAGUCAGGGGUGAAAUCCCGGGGCUCAACCUCGGAACUGCCUUUGAUACUGCGAGUCUUGAGUCCGAUAGAGGUGGGUGGAAUUCCUAGUGUAGAGGUGAAAUUCGUAGAUAUUAGGAAGAACACCAGUGGCGAAGGCGGCCCACUGGAUCGGUACUGACGCUGAGGUGCGAAAGCGUGGGGAGCAAACAGG